rnacentral:Y_RNA from 1 species
GGCUGGUCAGAGUACAGUGGCGUUUACAACUAAUUGAUCACAACCAGUUACAGAUUCCUCUGUUCCUUCUCCACUCCCACUGCUUCGCUUGACUAGCCUAAA